rnacentral:rRNA from 1 species
GACGAACGCUGGCGGCGUGCUUAACACAUGCAAGUCGAGCGGUAAGGCCCUUUCGGGGGUACGACGAGCGGCGAACGGGUGAGUAACACGUGGGUGACCUGCCCUCAGCUCUGGGAUAAGCCUGGGAAACCGGGUCUAAUACCGGAUAUGACUCCAUGACGCAUGUUGUGGGGUGGAAAGCCUUGUGCGGCUGAGGAUGGGCCCGCGGCCUAUCAGCUUGUUGGUGGGGUGAUGGCCUACCAAGGCGACGACGGGUAGCCGGCCUGAGAGGGCGACCGGCCACACUGGGACUGAGACACGGCCCAGACUCCUACGGGAGGCAGCAGUGGGGAAUCUUGCGCAAUGGGCGAAAGCCUGACGCAGCGACGCCGCGUGAGGAUGACGG